GUGUUUGCUUCAGCGUCACAUAUACUAAAAUUGGAACAAUACAGAGAAGAUGAACAUGGCUCUUGCUCAAGGAUUUUUAAAAAUAAUUAAAAUGGCCAGGCGUGG
rnacentral:snRNA from 1 species